rnacentral:rRNA from 1 species
CCUACGGGAGGCAGCAGUGGGGAAUCUUGGACAAUGGGCGCAAGCCUGAUCCAGCAAUGCCGCGUGGGUGAAGAAGGCCUUCGGGUUGUAAAGCCCUUUCGGCGGGGAAGAAAUCGGCCAGGCGAAUAGUCUGGCUGGAUGACGGUACCCGCAGAAGAAGCACCGGCUAACUACGUGCCAGCAGCCGCGGUAAU